AUGUACUUCUCUAUUGCCCACAGAGGUCCAGGAAGUGGGAGGCAGUUUUCCCUGGAGCAGUGUCCUCUGAUGAUUGCCCUGGCAGAGGCCUCGGCUUUUCCUCCUGAGAUGGAGCCGAGCAGGACUAACCCUGCUGUGCAGAUGGAACAAAAGGCAGGGACCUGUUCCACGAUGCUUCCAAGCUCAGAUCACAUCGAGCUAAAGGGGAACCUGGGAGGUGGGUCUCCUGAGCCUCAGGCACAGGUGAGUCACUCACCACUCAGAUCGCACUCAUCUUCAGACUCAGGUGUUUACUGGGUGCUCACUGGGCAUCUUCUGUCUCUCGGCCCUGUCAGGGCUUGACCAAGAUGAAGGGAGACUGUGCUGAGCUUCUGGAGGCUGAGACUGUGCUGGGCCUUGGGAGGCUGAGACAGGGGCUGGGCCUCGAGAGUGGGAGAGGGGGCCUGAGCCUCAGGAGGCUGAGAUGGGACUCGGCUGGGGGAUGGCUGCUGUGGAUCGUAGGAGAUAGACAGUUCUACCUACCCUGCAAUAGGGGAUGGGCAUCCAGGGUGCUGUCAGAGGACAGAUUUCUGGAUGCUCGUGGAGACCCAUGAAGCCACAGGCUCCCUAAAAGCACGUGUCUUUUUAAAAGGGUCCAUCUUGGAUCCAUCUUU
rnacentral:lncRNA from 1 species